AAAUCAAUGGGACUGGUCCCCUUUGAAGGCAAAGUAUUCAAGGCAGUUUAGAAGACCUCACAUAAUUAUUUUGUAAUUCAUAUUGAAGAUGUUAAAGUGGUAGGUGACAAGGUAUAAACAGCAGUGUAAUUGUAUAUAUACUGGGUGGGGGGAGUCCACAAAAUAUUGUUAAUAGGUCUCUUAAACCAAACCAAACCACUAAACUGUUUUCUACUAAAGCAUUUACAUUUAAUGAUUUUUUUCAGGGCUUGAGAAUCUUUAACAUGAACCUCUCGCAUCUCUAAAGAAAUAGCUAAAGAGCUGGUUAUUAAACCUAUUGAAUGAUGAUCACAGGGAGACUGUCAGCUUAUCCAACAUAGUUUUUCUUUGGUCUAACAGGUCCAGGAGCAAAACACAAUCAUCCCUCUUCCCAGUGACACUCUCCAGGUCUUUCUGAGGACUCCAAUGCAAAACCUUGUCAGAGGGAAAAUACAGUCCCUUCAUCAAGCUUUGGGUCUGGCCUGAGGUCUCCUCCCAGUGGGCAUGGAAAACCUCCAAAGAGUGAAGACUUAGGAAUCCGCCAGAGGAGGGAACGGGGCAGGAGGAUCUCUCCGAAUGGAUGUGGUAAGUUCUCCGUUACGUCACAGAGGUCCUUAAACCAAGAAAUGGUUAGUGGAAUUGAGUGCGGUGUUCGUUCGACUCACGUUGGAGAGUGGGUAGGUUCGUUUGCUGGUGUUCGGAAGUUCCGGAGCUUGGAGGGCAGCCAGCCUUUGUGGAUCCGCAGAGUCAGCCAGAGGACUGGAUCGGAACCGGGGUCCUCUUCCAGGGCCAGAAAGCAAGAUGCCGGGAACCUAGGAGGAUCACACAGGAGCUCGGCCAAGGAAGAGGAGGAGUCAGAGCUGGUGUCUUUGACCCAAAGACACCUUUCCCCCCUCUGCUCGGCCUCAUUCUGGCUGCAGACAGCAGCUAAUGGAGGGACCAGAUGACGUGUCAGCUGAAAGCCUUGAAACUCAUGGGGGAGUAAGGGUUCUACUUCAAGUGAAGCCUUGGAUCCAAAAGUAACUACGAUCACGCCAAUCUUAUGCAAAAAAGGUAAGUAAUGAUUUUGCUUUUCAUGUAUCCAGCAUUCAUUUAUAUAAAAGGUGUAAUAAGACAAGUGUGGCUUGACUUUUCUUCUGAGGCCUCCAGAAGCAGCCCUAGCCCAAGUGGAUUUUUCCCCACAGCCUAAAGAAGAAGGCAUCGUGACCACAGCAUCACGAGCCUUCCUGCAUGUAUGUCCAGGUAGCGAGAGCUACCCCCACUAAACUUGCCGCAACGUGCCUUUGUUGUACGGUUUGGCCAGGCCAGCUAAACAGCCGACCCCUUACAGCUACUGAGAUUAGCUGCAAUACUAGUCCCUUUUAGUCCACAUGUGGAUGACUGGGAAAGCUUUGCUUCCCUCAUCUCGUCGCCCGGAAACCUUUUCCUCAGCACUAUUCACGUAAGAGGUAAUGUUUGGGCAGAGAAAAUUAGUUUAGAAUGAAAUAAUCUAAAUAAUGUUAGUUUAAUGACGUUUGGUUUUUUCUGUUUGUGUUGAGUAAACUAGGCUGAGUGCUAGCAGACUAGCGGCUCAGCUAACAAUGUGUUCUGUGUUGUGUUUUUAAAAUUAAGACAAACUUUAUUUAAAAGGUGGUUUUUAAACACAGAUUGGCCAUAACGCGCCUUCAGUGCUUAUGUAAUUUGAGCCUUUUAUUGAUGGUAUUUUUAGAUACACGUUCGAAUUUAAAGAGCUAUAGGC